UACCUUCGCGGCCUCUCCAGAUGCAGGUGCAGGUGUGCACGCCUCUGCCUGUGCAUCCUGGAGUCCCGGCCUCAGCCCCAGCCCUAAGCCUGGGACCCAGCGUUUGCUACUUCCUUGUUCCUUGAGCUGGAGUGAGCCUAGCAUCAUGCCUAACACGCCUCCUUUGGGACACAAGCCUCCAGUCCUUUGGCAUCCGGAGGUACCCAGGAAGGGAGUCCUGAACGUGUGACUCCAAACUCUGCCCACUCACUCCUUUUAUCGUCUUUUCCUACUCCCCAUCCCGAGUUUCAUUUUCAGCCUGUUUACUUCUCUGGCCGGCCCACGGUGCUGCUGAGAGCCGGCUGGAGACAUGUGCGAGCAGAUCCAUGAACCGCCCGGGGACCCAUAACCCCCUGCUCUGCCCGGAAGGGACCCGAUGUUGGGCUGUGCCGGACUUGGGGGACCUAAGAUGCCAGGUGGGAGGGAUCAUUGCCACGGAUCGCGCCAGUGUAAUUCCCCUGGGGAUGUGUUGUUGUUAUUGCAGACCCAGUAUUUCUCCCAGUGGUCCGGGUAGCUUUCUGUAAAUCUUGCUUUAUGGCUAAUCCAUAAAAUCGAAAUCUGCCUUCCAUCUCUUAAACAUGUCGCUGUAAAUAAAGCUACCAGGAAACACUGAAAUUGUGCUGGUGGUAAUGGACAGCUCAAGUUUCAGGGGCCAUGAGUGAAAACAGAUAAACAUGGAUGCAUGCACGGGAGGAUGGAAUGGAACCACGGGGGGCAGUGUGAGCUGGCAGGAAGAAGGCUCCAGGGACGGUGUUAUUUGAGAUCCACACGGUGUGUAAUUCUAGGAAGAAAAUGGAAAACUGUAAUUGGCAGGUUAGAAAACCCACUUAUAUGAAGAAGAGAGUUUAAUGAACUUCUUCGUGUCAUCAAGACUACCUUUAGGUGCUCAAUUGUCUAGGAAAUUCAUAGU